CUCUUUGGGGAAUUGCUGAUGGCGACCCGCAGUUGCGACCUGGCACGCCUGUACUUGUGGGUGGUAUGUCGCCUUCGUUGGACGGACAGUACACGCUGGUAUCGGUCAACCAUGU
rnacentral:misc_RNA from 1 species